GGGUGUACUCUUUUUGUGGGUACAUUUUGAGACAUUAAUGGCUGUAUUUUUAAUUAUUUUGAGGGGACAAUACAUUGAAGCUGUUAUAUGAGUUGUUUGCUGGCUACUUUAUUGUGUCAAAGGGAAGAUCCUUUAAUGUUGUCACAUGAAAAGAUAGAGGCUACUAACAAGUCUGCAGAAAUGUGACAAGUGUAGUCAAUUCUGACACACACUGUAAGGUCCCACUGUCUGUAGUCUGAGUGAAGUUUCCAGUAUUAAAGGUGGGAUAGGAGAUGUUUUUCUGGCACAUAUUUUACCAUAUCAUCUGAAAAACUCCUCAUGACGCCAUAGCACCCAUUGAAAUAGAGUGUUUGGAAAAAAAACGAAAUCUUUUGGUCCAGUCUAGAGGGCGUAGUCAGAAGAAAACGGCAACCAAUAGAAGUAAUACUCAUCAUCACUUCUAUUGGUUUCUGACACGUCCAUCAACCGCCAGCACUCACCCCUCCUCCCUGCGCGUUCACCGACUCGUGAACUUGACCGACCCCGCCCCCAUCAUUCAUGCACACGCGACAAGGCUCAUCAUCACUCGGCUAGUAGCAAGGUAACUAGAGUUAGCAGCAGGCUGAGCUACUUGAAAACUUUGGUGGCUUUUGCAGAGCUACAGGAAGAACUUUGGCUUUUGGAACACUGGACUAACCAUGUCAGGAUAACAUACUCCCAUAGUCAUCGGACUCGCAAGACCAGACUCCAACACGGGCUGAAAAUUUGAAAUGGGACCUGACACUCUUGGACACAGAUGUCGGCUACGGCAGCGGCUUGAAAUACGCUUUGGUGACCAUAUUUCGAAUCGAGAGUUGUGCGAACGAGCCAGACAAACCAGCUGGGAGGAGGACGGAAGCACCCCUUCUCCAUCCGCGUUCAGUUGCUAAAUACUGAUUCACCACGUAGUCAACAGCAGACAGGGUCCUUCCACAACCACAUACUUAUGCCAGUAAAAGCCACAGCUUUUCUCCUCCAAUCCAAGAAGCCUGGACUGCAGUCACCAUCUCAACACACCAACCAAGAGAAAGGCGGAUGGCUCAAUUCAGUAUGUAGUUCUGCAAAUAUUCUCAAAGGUCUUCACAGCCCCCCAUGGUGCUGAAUGCAUUUACAUUUAUUUGUGUAAGGUAAAAACAAUGCUGAUUACAGAACAUAACUAGGGCCAUGAAUGAAAUUUGAGGUAGCAGCCAGUCAUCACCUGAUGGUGAGAGGUGGUCCUAAGAUCAGAGAGAAGCAGGUUGAAAUCCCAUCCUUACCUCUCCCUACCUACACCUCCAUCCACAGCUGAAGUGCACUUGAGCAAGGCACACAAGUCCACUUAGGUCCUGGGACUGUAGCCAACACCCUGUAAAACCCUGCUGUGUAAUUUGAUGUAAUGAAGCCCUAAUAUAGUCUAACACAUUGCUUGUUACAGAUAUGGAAAAUUGCACAAUAAAAGUUCCAGGACAUGAAGGCUGCAUACUGUGAACGUCAACCUUCAGGGCACCGUCCUGCGCAGAAGACUUUCUACCCUAAGAGGGAUGGCUGACCGCAGACAAUCACAACCAGCACUUACGCCUCCAACCUCAGACUAGGCCCUUCACAGUUGCUGCACUUACCCACCUUCCCAGAGUUUUUGUGUGGUAAUGACAACUGUAAAUAUAGUAUAAAGUAAUGUAUCUAGUGUCAUGUGUAAUACAUUGUCUAAAUUGUCCAUACAUUUCAAUGACAGUAAAUAUUGGUGGACACAA